UACGUAGGGUGCGAGCGUUGCCCGGAUUUAUUGGGCGUAAAGGGCGCGUAGGCGGCUCGGCACGUCCGUUGUGAAAUCGCCCGGCUCAACUGGGCGGGGUCGGCGGAUACGGCCGAGCUUGAGCAAGCUAGGGGGUAAUGGAAUUCCCGGUGUAGUGGUGGAAUGCGUAGAUAUCGGGAGGAACACCAGUGGCGAAGGCGGUUUCCUGGAGCUUUGCUGACGCUGAUGCGCGAAAGCGUGGGGAGCGAUCCGG
rnacentral:rRNA from 1 species